rnacentral:lncRNA from 1 species
AUCGGACCCUGGCACCGACCCCACCGAGCCACCGCACCCCCCCCACACGAAUCCAGGCGACGACAGCACAAACCGCAGUCACUCCACGCACGCACACAGAGGGGGAAAAGAGCACUCCGCUCUAUCCUCCCCCCUCCCCCGAUGACCGGACUACUUACUGCCCUCGACCCCACGGCCGAGCUCGUCGCGGCCCGCAGGCCGUACGAGGCUUCCCCCCCCACGCCGAGAGCGGAGGGCAACCCCCGAAUCUUUAAACCUCCGCGCCAGAACGCGCUAGGUACCCGGGACAGGAUGGGGGCGGAAAGGCCUCCCACGCCCCAACGGCGGGCUAGGACCGCACAGCGGAGAGGAGCGUGGGAGUUUUCGCCCCAGCCCCUCGGGGCGGUCGGGACGAGCGACCAAGGCACACCCGGCCGGUCACGCCAACCCCAAUUCCCCAUCUCGGAGGGAAGACGCUCACUCGAGCGAGCGGGACCGACCCCGGCGCCUGACCGCCGGGGCCCUCGCUGGCCCACACGUCGAGGGGACCCCUCUCGAGCCGCCGGGGCAGGGGCCUCGGCACCGCCGACCCCGCCCCACCGGUGGGGACGAGGCGGUUCGGCCGCGUCGGCGAGCACGGACCCGGAGAACCUAAAAGACACCCGACCGCGGGCUGAGGCGGAGCGGAGGAAGGGGGCAAAGGGGAGCCGGGACCCUGACGACCGAAGGCGGGGAACCGGGCACCCGGGGCCCCAACCGCCCACACGGAGAGGGUGGGGCCCGGCGACGACGCCGGGUCUCUUCCCCUUUUCGCCACCUCCCCCCGAAGCCCGCACAUGCAGCGGCGGGGGCACGACCGCGCCGGGGCGGCGGGAUCGUGGUCAAGCACUUCGAGCAGCAUUCCUCUCUCGCUCGAAAACCCCCCGCCCGCGGGGGACUCGGCAUGCGCACGGGCCGCCGACGGCGUCCGGGACGCCGCCGGGGUACCGGCGGGGCCGAGCGGCGACGGAGGGAACCCACCGAACGCCGCCCGGAUGGCCGCAGCC